rnacentral:rRNA from 1 species
UACGAAGGGGGCUAGCGUUGCUCGGAAUUACUGGGCGUAAAGGGCGCGUAGGCGGAUAUUUAAGUUAGAGGUGAAAGCCCAGGGCUCAACCCUGGAAUAGCCUUUAAAUACUGGAUAUCUUGAGUUCGGGAGAGGUGAGUGGAACUCCGAGUGUAGAGGCGAAAUUCGUAGAUAUUCGGAAGAACACCAGUGGCGAAGGCGACUCACUGGCCCGAUACUGACGCUGAGGCGCGAAAAG